rnacentral:rRNA from 1 species
UACGGGGGGGGCAAGCGUUGUUCGGAAUUACUGGGCGUAAAGGGCUCGUAGGUGGCCAACUAAGUCAGACGUGAAAUCCCUCAGCUUAACUGGGGAACUGCGUCUGAUACUGGAUGGCUUGAGUUCGGGAGAGGGAUGCGGAAUUCCAGGUGUAGCGGUGAAAUGCGUAGAUAUCUGGAGGAACACCGGUGGCGAAGGCGGCAUCCUGGACAAUUGCUGACGCUCAGGCACGAAAGCGUGGGGAGCAAAAGGG